GUUGAACGCUGGCGGCAGGCUUAACACAUGCAAGUCGAACGAACCCUUCGGGGUUAGUGGCGGACGGGUGAGUAACACGUGGGAACGUGCCUUUAGGUUCGGAAUAACUCAGGGAAACUUGUGCUAAUACCGAAUGUGCCCUUCGGGGGAAAGAUUUAUCGCCUUUAGAGCGGCCCGCGUCUGAUUAGCUAGUUGGUGAGGUAAUGGCUCACCAAGGCUACGAUCAGUAGCUGGUCUGAGAGGAUGACCAGCCACAUUGGGACUGAGACACGGCCCAAACUCCUACGGGAGGCAGCAGUGGGGAAUCUUGCGCAAUGGGCGAAAGCCUGACGCAGCCAUGCCGCGUGGAUGAUGAAGGUCUUAGGAUUGUAAAAUCCUUUCACCGGUGAAGAUAAUGACUGUAGCCGGAGAAGAAGCCCCGGCUAACUUCGUGCCAGCCGCCGCAGUAAGAC
rnacentral:rRNA from 1 species